UAAAUUUUAAAAGGAUUUGAUGAUUGUUUUGGUCGGCCAACCCAAUGCAGCCUACCCCGUUUUACAUGUACUAAAAAUGAUUCGUUUCGACCCGGAUUGGCAUGUGUACGGUUUUGGAUUGCUUUAAAAACUGUUGAUCUGAUUAUUUGUAAGUUGGGGUUCAAAGUAGUUUGUUCUGGUGUCCAAUUGCUUAUGUCAAAUGGAAAUAAGCAGACAAGAUAAGCAGUUUCAUAAGUCAUUCCUAAUCAAUGUUAAAUUACUGGUUACAAGGGUUGUACAGAACUGAAUAUUAUGCCACUUAACUACUUUCAACCACUUCUGUGAGUAGACAUGAUACAGUUGCUCUUAUUAGUAUCUUUGUACAAUUAUAAGGAGCACGUUUUUUAGUUUCCGAUUAUAACUACCACAAUUACUACUUUUCUAAAGUUGGCCUAAAAUGGUAGAGUUGGGAAAGUUGGAGCUUUCUCCAAGUGAGAUACAGUUUUAAGUUACGAGGUCAAAGAGAGCUGUUUUUCAACCUGAAGAUAGUGAACUCUUUGAGCUUAAUUAGUAGGGAAAAUGUGAUGUAGUCAUAAAGCUCGAGACACAAUUCAACAUAAAUUUCCUAACAUAGCUGUUGAGUGCCUCAAGUAUGGGUUAGAUAUAUACCCGUGACUCGAUUCAUAUGGUUCCUGCUACUCAUUACCUGUGUGGUGGGGUUCAGGCUGUGCUUCAAUGGGAGUGGACUUUAUGUUCAGUUAUGUGGUGAUGACGCUUCUGAAGGUGUGUUUGUCGGGGCCUUUCUCUCCAUGUCAUCAACAGCAGUGGUUUUGAAGUUUCUGAUGGAAAAGAAUAGUAUUAGCACUCUCUAUGGGCAGGUCACUAUUGGUACCCUUAUUUUGCAACAAUUUAGGAGGUUCCGACCUCUUGAUUAGGACUAACGAUGACGUUCAACUGACCAACAUUUUACAACCAAAUUUUAUAGCUCUAAAUGUUUGCCAGUCAUCAAUAAAAAGUGUAUUAUGCUUGAAGCUCUGGAUGAGAGGAGUUCUAGGGUGGAGCUGAUAGAGAAAGAGAAAGUCGAGAGAGUGUAGAGUGAAGCAGAAUAUUACAUGCUUAAGGAAGCUGUCGUCGUUAAAAUGACAAGAAAAAGUUGUAAAUCUUGCUUCUGAGGUAAAUAUUGU